rnacentral:rRNA from 1 species
UACGGAGGGUGCAUACGUUGCUCGGAAUCAUUGGGCGUAAAGCGCACGUAGGCGGCCCAGCCAGUCGGGUGUGAAAGCCCUCGGCUUAACCGAGGAAGUGCAUUCGAAACUACUGGGCUUGAGUACUGAAGAGGAUCGCGGAAUUCCCGGUGUAGAGGUGAAAUUCGUAGAUAUCGGGAGGAACACCAGUGGCGAAGGCGGCGAUCUGGGCAGAUACUGACGCUGAUGUGCGAAAGCGUGGGGAGCAAACAGG